UACAGAGGUCCCAAGCGUUGUUCGGAUUCACUGGGCGUAAAGGGUGCGUAGGUGGUGAGGUAAGUCGGAUGUGAAAUCUCCAGGCUCAACCUGGAAAUGGCAUUGGAAACUACCUUGCUAGAGGGUUUGAGGGGGGACUGGAAUACUUGGUGUAGCAGUGAAAUGCGUAGAUAUCUGGAGGAACACCAGUGGCGAAAGCGCGAUACUGGGCCAUAACUGACGCUGAGGAACGAAAGCCAGGGUAGCAAAAGGG
rnacentral:rRNA from 1 species